UACGUAGGGUGCAAGCGUUAAUCGGAAUUACUGGGCGUAAAGCGUGCGCAGGCGGCUAUGCAAGACAGAUGUGAAAUCCCCGGGCUCAACCUGGGAACUGCAUUUGUGACUGCAUGGCUGGAGUGCGGCAGAGGGGGAUGGAAUUCCGCGUGUAGCAGUGAAAUGCGUAGAUAUGCGGAGGGACACCGAUGGCGAAGGCAAUCCCCUGGGCCUGCACUGACGCUCAUGCACGAAAGCGUGGGGAGCAAACAGG
rnacentral:rRNA from 1 species